rnacentral:rRNA from 1 species
ACGCUCGACACCUACGGGAGGAGCAGUGGGGAAUAUUGCACAAUGGGGGAAACCCUGAUGCAGCGACGCCGCGUGAAGGAUGAAGUAUUUCGGUAUGUAAACUUCUAUCAGCAGGGAAGAAAGUGACGGUACCUGACUAAGAAGCCCCGGCUAACUACGUGCCGNGAGCCGCGGUAAUCUGAGCGGGCUGGCAAGGC